rnacentral:rRNA from 1 species
GACGAACGCUGGCGGCGUGCUUAACACAUGCAAGUCGAACGGUAAGGCCCUUCGAGGUACACGAGUGGCGAACGGGUGAGUAACACGUGGGUGAUCUGCCCUGCACUUCGGGAUAAGCCUGGGAAACCGGGUCUGAUACCGGAUAGGACCCUGGGAUGCAUGUCCUGGGGUGGAAAGCUUUUGCGGUGUGGGAUGGGCCCGCGGGCUAUCAGCUUGUUGGUGGGGUGAUGGCCUACCAAGGCGACGACGGGUAGCCGGCCUGAGAGGGUGACCGGCCACACUGGGACUGAGAUACGGCCCAGACUCCUACGGGAGGCAGCAGUGGGGAAUAUUGCACAAUGGGCGCAAGCCUGAUGCAGCGACGCCGCGUGAGGGAUGACGGCCUUCGGGUUGUAAACCUCUUUCAGCACCGACGAAGCGCAAGUGACGGUAGGUGCAGAAGAAGGACCGGCCAACUACGUGCCAGCAGCCGCGGUAA